AUUGAACGCUGGCGGCAGGCCUAACACAUGCAAGUCGAGCGGAUGAAGGGAGCUUGCUCCUGGAUUCAGCGGCGGACGGGUGAGUAAUGCCUAGGAAUCUGCCUGGUAGUGGGGGAUAACGUCCGGAAACGGGCGCUAAUACCGCAGACGUCCUGAGGGAGAAAGUGGGGGAUCUUCGGACCUCACGCUAUCAGAUGAGCCUAGGUCGGAUUAGCUAGUUGGUGGGGUAAAGGCCUACCAAGGCGACGAUCGGUAACUGGUCUGAGAGGAUGAUCAGUCACACUGGAACUGAGACACGGUCCAGACUCCUACGGGAGGCAGCAGUGGGGAAUAUUGGACAAUGGGCGAAAGCCUGAUACAGCCAUGCCGCGUGUGUGAAGAAGGUCUUCGGAUUGUAAAGCACUUUAAGUUGGGAGGAAGGGCAGUAAGUUAAUACCUUGCUGUUUUGACGUUACCAACAGAAUAAGCACCGGCUAACUUCGUG
rnacentral:rRNA from 1 species